rnacentral:rRNA from 1 species
GAACUGAAGAGUUUGAUCAUGGCUCAGAUUGAACGCUGGCGGCAGGCCUAACACAUGCAAGUCGAGCGGAUGAAGGGAGCUUGCUCCUGGAUUCAGCGGCGGACGGGUGAGUAAUGCCUAGGAAUCUGCCUGGUAGUGGGGGAUAACGUCCGGAAACGGGCGCUAAUACCGCAUACGUCCUGAGGGAGAAAGUGGGGGAUCUUCGGACCUCACGCUAUCAGAUGAGCCUAGGUCGGAUUAGCUAGUUGGUGGGGUAAAGGCCUACCAAGGCGACGAUCCGUAACUGGUCUGAGAGGAUGAUCAGUCACACUGGAACUGAGACACGGUCCAGACUCCUACGGGAGGCAGCAGUGGGGAAUAUUGGACAAUGGGCGAAAGCCUGAUCCAGCCAUGCCGCGUGUGUGAAGAAGGUCUUCGGAUUGUAAAGCACUUUAAGUUGGGAGGAAGGGCAGUAAGUUAAUACCUUGCUGUUUUGACGUUACCAACAGAAUAAGCACCGGCUAACUUCGUGCCAGCAGCCGCGGUAAUACGAAGGGUGCAAGCGUUAAUCGGAAUUACUGGGCGUAAAGCGCGCGUAGGUGGUUCAGCAAGUUGGAUGUGAAAUCCCCGGGCUCAACCUGGGAACUGCAUCCAAAACUACUGAGCUAGAGUACGGUAGAGGGUGGUGGAAUUUCCUGUGUAGCGGUGAAAUGCGUAGAUAUAGGAA